GACGAACGCUGGCGGCGUGCUUAACACAUGCAAGUCGAACGGAAAGGCCCUGCUUUUGUGGGGUGCUCGAGUGGCGAACGGGUGAGUAACACGUGAGUAACCUGCCCUUGACUUUGGGAUAACUUCAGGAAACUGGGGCUAAUACCGGAUAGGAGCUCCUGCUGCAUGGUGGGGGUUGGAAAGUUUCGGCGGUUGGGGAUGGACUCGCGGCUUAUCAGCUGGUUGGUGGGGUAGUGGCUUACCAAGGCUUUGACGGGUAGCCGGCCUGAGAGGGUGACCGGCCACAUUGGGACUGGGAUACGGCCCAGACUCCUACGGGAGGCAGCAGUGGGGAAUAUUGCACAAUGGGCGGAAGCCUGAUGCAGCAACGCCGCGUGCGGGAUGACGGCCUUCGGGUUGUAAACCGCUUUCGCCUGUGACGAAGCGUGAGUGACGGUAAUGGGUAAAGAAGCACCGGCUAACUACGUG
rnacentral:rRNA from 1 species